UAGGGAAGUCUUCCACAAUGGACGCAAGUCUGAUGGAGCAACGCCGCGUGAGUGAAGAAGGUCUUCGGAUCGUAAAACUCUGUUGUUAGAGAAGAACACGAGUGAGAGUAACUGUUCAUUCGAUGACGGUAUCUAACCAGCAAGUCACGGCUAACUACGUGCCAG
rnacentral:rRNA from 1 species